rnacentral:rRNA from 1 species
GAUGAACGCUGGCGGCGUGCCUAAUACAUGCAAGUCGAGCGAACAGACGAGGAGCUUGCUCCUCUGACGUUAGCGGCGGACGGGUGAGUAACACGUGGAUAACCUACCUAUAAGACUGGGAUAACUUCGGGAAACCGGAGCUAAUACCGGAUAAUAUAUUGAACCGCAUGGUCCAAUAGUGAAAGACGGUUUUGCUGUCACUUAUAGAUGGAUCCGCGCCGCAUUAGCUAGUUGGUAAGGUAACGGCUUACCAAGGCAACGAUGCGUAGCCGACCUGAGAGGGUGAUCGGCCACACUGGAACUGAGACACGGUCCAGACUCCUACGGGAGGCAGCAGUAGGGAAUCUUCCGCAAUGGGCGAAAGCUUGACGGAGCAACGCCGCGUGAGUGAUGAAGGUCUUCGGAUCGUAAAACUCUGUUAUUAGGGAAGAACAAAUGUGUAAGUAACUAUGCACGUCUUGACGGUACCUAAUCAGAAAGCCACGGCUAACUACGUG